rnacentral:rRNA from 1 species
UCCCGCUUAUAUACCACCGUCGCCAGCUUACCCUGUGAAGGCCUAAUAGUAAGCAAAAUCGGCACAACCCAAAACGUCAGGUCGAGGUGUAGCGUAUGGAGGGGGAAGAGAUGGGCUACAUUCACUAAUGCAGUGAACACGAAUGAUCACUCUGAAAUGAGUAUCUGAAGGAGGAUUUAGCAGUAAGCAAAAAACAGAGUGUUUUGCUGAAGUUGGCUCUAAAGCGUGCACACACCGCCCGUCACUCUCCCCGAGCUAUCGCGAUAAAAAUAACUAAAACCCUAAAACUGUAAAGGGGAGGCAAGUCGUAACAUGGUAAGUGUACCGGAAGGUGCACUUGGAAAAACC